GUGAAACAGGCGACUUCCUUCACUGCCUUUCUCUGGGAGCACGAUGAGCACUAAUUACCCGCUCACUGCCAAGCUGGCACCCGGCAUGAGCUGUCAGGAGCCUGCAGUCCCUUCCUGAAGUGUGCAGCCCUGGAGAAACUUGCACCUGGAAGACACCUUAGCAGUCACCUGGCUCCAUCUUCCCUGCAAUGCAACCAUCCCUCGUGCAGCAUCUUGGGUAAGGAUGAGCAGAGAGCACUGGAUUUGGACUCAGAAAGCCUUUCUGAGCCUUGGUUUCCUCAUCAGUAAAAUGUGGGUCAUACUACCAGCCUCAAAAUGUUGCAGUAGGGAUUAUAUGAGACCCUCUUCCAGCACGUCUCGGGAGGAACACACAAAGCUAGGAGGACCACUGAUCCACAGAGAGCAGAGUACAGACUCGUCCCCCCUCGAUGGGGAGACAUGCCUCUUCCACGGGCAACCAUUCAC
rnacentral:lncRNA from 10 species